AUCCAAAACAAAAACAAAAAACCCCACCCAAUCCAACCAGGCCCGCAGCCGCUUGUGUCUUCUCCACCCAACUCCUCUCUCUAUCUCCCCGGAGCCAAAGCCAGCCGACGCCGCCUUCCGCAACCUCGGCCUCCACAGCACCGCCGCACUAGCGACCGCCCCUCCUUCUCCCCUUGGACGCGGAUCCACUCGAGCUGCUCACCCUGUGGUCGGAUGCGCGCUCCCUCCCUCCCUCCCUCCUCGCGCAGGAAACCCUAGCCGCUGGCCAUGGCGACCGACGGUGCUAUGGUGAGCUAGCAGCUACAUCUAACAGCCAAUGCAAGGGUUCUCCGGCGAGGUCUGCUCCUUCUCCACCAGUAGAGAAAGAGACGGGGCCCUCCUUCUCUCGCUGCUUCGACCCUCCCAGCGCCGACGCCAUGGAAGGUCCCCCUCCCCCUCUCCUCUCUCUCUCUCUUUCUCUGUUCGGCUCCCUCGCUGUUCUAGGACGCCAUGGACUCAUUUUUUUGUUCUUUCUCCCCUUUCUAUUUGAACAUGAGCAGUGUUAACCAUCUAUAUAUGUGUCUCACAUGUUGUAUCUUCUUGUUGCUGCGAUUUAAACAUGAGCAUGAGUCAGAUCCUUGUAAUUAGAAAAUAUCGGGGAACAAAAGAAGCCGCAACACACAUUCUCCGGGACAAGCACCAAGUACUGGGCCACAGUGGACUGGGAUAAGAUAAAAAAUUCAGAAGUGAGAGAAACACGUCACGCAAGUAUCAUCAUCUUCGCUCACAAUCUCCGAAGUUUGGGAUGGAGACAGAUCACUAUAUAUGUUAGUCGUGUUAUAUCAGAAAUACAGGUAAUUUGGGGGAGAUAGAUAGUUAUUGAGUGUGUGUUCCUGAACUGACAGUAGCAGUCUCCUGAAGCAAAGCAGAUUGUGUUUUGAUUGUUCAGAUUCAGGCCAGACCACGGAGUAGAAUUCUCAUGUCAAUUGCUACUCAAGCAUAAUUAAUCACUACUUCCAUCUUAUGUUAUGCAAUUGUGUGUAAGAUUUAAUUGUUCAGGUUCAGGCCAGAGCACCGGGUAGUCUCCUACAAAAACUUGGCGAUUGUGUGUAAGAUUUAAUUGUUCAGAUUCAGGCCAGAGCACCGGGUAGUCUCCUACAAAAACUUGGCGAUGUCCAUGGUUCAGGUUCGAACCAGCAUGAAAGGAAACAUCUAAUUGGGCUGAUUUAUGUUCUGUGCUACACAGAUGCAGUGCUCCGGCAAGCGGAUAUGCUGGUAAAAGUGUGCGCUGUUCAUGUGUUGUGCUGCAAAAACAGGAGAGUUCAUAUGAUAGUUUUGUCGCACAACGGGAUUCGAUGCUUGUCUUGUUGCGACCCAACCAGGCGCAGCUAACUCUAGCUGACACCGCGGAUGCCGGUGCCUCAAUGGAUCUUCCACGACCUCCUUGGCGAGGUGACGCCUCCUAGCCACUCUCCACCGCACGGACGGGAUGGUCGGCCUCGGCUACAGAUAUCAAAGAGAAAACAAAAUCGGCGGACAGAUUGGGGGAGAAGCAAGCAGGAGGGGGACCUUGAAGGCGUGGCGCGGCUUGCACCCCAUGAGCUGGAGCGCGCUCUGCAGGACGGGGCGCGUGUAGCGGAAGCCGCUCCCCUGGCGGCCGUCGGCGACGGCAAUGUAGAGCGGCGGCUGCUGCGGCCCAGGUUGACAAAUGGAAAGUAUCUCGUGAAGAUAAAAUUAAAUUCUCUCAUCGAACUAUACACUUUCUGCUCCCAUGGUUGAAAAAAUUCCACCACGAGCAGAUGCAAGAGAAAAUUGUUGAGGCAACAAUUAAAGGCAUUGAUGCAUGCGAAGUGAAGGUUCCACAAGCUAAUUGUGCAAAAAAUGAAAGGAUAUUCUGUAACAACUGCAGAACAUCUAUAGUUGACUUCCACAGAAGCUGUACUAAAUGUUCCUAUGAUCUCUGCCUCAUUUGCUGCCGGGAGCUUCGUCUUGGGCGCUGUCCUGGUGGUGGUGCUGCAAGUAACACGGUCCUUACACAACCCGAGGUAGAAGGCAAGGAAGAUUUGCAACAGACACGUAGUGAUGAUAUUGCUGUGAGUUAAAAGAUUCCUGAUGGACAGAAUGGCCUGUUGAGGAACAGGGCAGUUCCUGUUGAGGAUAGUGCUGCUGUUGCAAGUAGCAUGGUCUUUACACAACCUGAGGUAGAAGGCAAGGAAGAUUUGCAACAGACAAGUAGUGAUGAUAACUCUGUGAGUCAAAAGCUUUCUGAUGGACAGAGUAUAAAGGGUACACCACAAGGGCGGAUGCGGAAGUUAUAUACGCGCGCUAUCUAGCGGGAGAGAGGAGGGAGUGUUGGAGGAACCGGAUGAAGACCAGUUUCAUCGCGAUUAUGCUCAUCGUGAUGACCGCAGCUCUCUUCUAUGUGAUGGUAGUUUAGAUGAUCGAUAUCGACUUGUAAUGUGAAGACAAACUUGUUACUCGCGUCCUCGAGAUUUGUAAUGUUCUAACUUUGUUCGGUAUUUUAAAUUCGGAGACUAAUAUGAUGAAUUGUAUUCGGAGACUAA